rnacentral:rRNA from 1 species
UCCUACGGGGGGCAGCAGUGGGGAAUUUUCCGCAAUGGGCGAAAGCCUGACGGAGCAAUACCGCGUGAGGGAGGAAGGCUUUUGGGUUGUAAACCUCUUUUCUCAGGGAAGAAAAUUUGACGGUACCUGAGGAAUAAGCAUCGGCUAACUCCGUGCCAGCAGCCGCGGUAAUACGGAGGAUGCAAGCGUUAUUCGGAAUUAUUGGGCGUAAAGCGUCCGCAGGUGGUUUUUCAAGUCUGCUGUCAAAGACCGAAGCUUAACUUCGGGUAGGCGGUGGAAACUGAGAGACUAGAGUACGGUAGGGGUAGAGGGAAUUUCCAGUGUAGCGGUGAAAUGCGUAGAGAUUGGAAAGAACACCAGUGGCGAAGGCGCUCUACUGGACCGUAACUGACACUCAGGGACGAAAGCUAGGGUAGCGAAAGGGAUUAGAUACCCCUGUAGUCCUAGCUGUAAACGAUGGAUACUAGGCGUUGCUUGUAUCGACCCGAGCAGUGCCGUAGCUAACGCGUUAAGUAUCCCGCCUGGGGAGUACGCACGCAAGUGUGAAACUCAAAGGAAUUGACGG